UUGACCCAUGGUGCAGAGGGUUAAUACUGGUUUGCUAAACCAAGGGACCCCAAAUCAGUCAGAUUAAGGAGAUUUUCCAGGAAUGUCCGGCUUUAUUUUAAGAUUGGUGGAUUGUUUGGGUUUGAGUGUCCAUGGGCUGAGGUUAGUGGAAUUAGAUCUUCAAGCGUUUCCUCAAACCCUGGAGGAAGGAGGUUAAUAUUACACCUUGGUUUAGAAACACAAUUAAGGCCAGUCUUCAUGUAUGAUCGCUGCAGAUGUGGUUGAGCAGUUUAGUCUUAAAUAUGUUUUCCUGGUGUUAAAUAUCACCAUGUCCCAGCAAUACACAGCACAGCUCUCACCCGCUUGUAAAAAAAAAAAAAAAAGAUGAAGUCACAUUUACCGUUGCUUGGCAAACUUUUUGCAGUAUUUCCAAAAGCAGUUCACCCAAAGGCUCCUUGAUUUCCCCACAGAGAUUUUGCAUCAGGUUGUUUUUCAUGUGACUUCGGCAUGAGUGGUUUUCAUACAUCACUACACUAUUAACAAUAAUUAUUCAGCAGAGCAAACUGUGCUGCUCUGGGUCAGCCUGGGUGAUUCUAACCCCAGUGAAGGAAUACUGUGAAGGACAGAACCAGAGAGGUGUGUGUUGCUCAUGAAGAGAGCCCCUGUCUCCAACACCUUCACAGUAGCUGCACCCUAAAUUUAUUAGCAGCAAGAGAGUGAAAGAAUAUCAUACUAUCCCAGUUCCCUCCUUCUCUCUCUCUCUCUCUCUCUUCCUGCUGGUCGCUCUGUCUCCUGUUUGCAUUCUUUCAGGACUCCUCUGCCAGUAGCGCUCAUUGAGCAUCGUACACGCGCACACGCACCGUCUGCCCGGUGAAGCUGAGCGGAGGAAGCACGUUCCGUGUGUGUGAGGCAGAAACAAGCAGGGGGUAGAAGCUGAAUGAAGUUAGGUUAGAAUCAGGAAGUGGGAGGAACCGGUCGCGCCGUAGGUGAUUGAGAGAGAGUUUGUGGGGGUACAGGCAGCACUCGCGCGAGGAACGGGAGCCAGGAGCCAGGAACCAGGAACCAGGAACCAGAAACCAGAAACCGAGCUUGAAACCAGCGACGAUUUCGAGGAAAAGAAGCGGCGUCGGGGUUUUACUGCGGCUUUACUCCACCCAUUCUGUCUAUAGGAGGGAAAUACUGUACGCUUUGUUGGAUUUUAUUGCUCUGCACGAGCGCACGGGAGACAGGAACGCGCGGAUGGUUUGUCACUGAGCGCGCCUCUUACACAAAAGCGCAGAAGUCUGCGACGGUUGGCGAGGAUUUCAAACGGCCAAUUUGCGGGAAGAGGACGAACUGAAGGAUUUCUCCACAUCUCUGCGCUCUUGGGUACCAGGCACAUGGCUGCCUUUGUCUGAGAGCCUCUCUCGCUUUGAGCUCUGGAUGUUUUUCUUCUUCCUCUUCUUCCCUGGGAAAGGCUUCUUAUUUUUGCAUGGCUGUCAUUCACUCUGAGCGAACGAGAGGAAUUCGCCGCCUGUUUGUGGAUUAAAUUGUUUGACAAGCAGAAUGUGAAACGGCGUAUUUAUUACUAAACCUUAAAGUGAUUUCUUGGUUUAUUUUCCUCCGUGCCAACCUCACCACAUCAGAAGGGCUCCGAUGCCGGCUCAGAGAAAUUAUUCAGCACAGCUGCAUUUAAAGUUCCAGAUUUUAGCAUUGACAAGCUCUCCACCAAUGCCUGC